rnacentral:lncRNA from 1 species
CCUAACUUUAACCGGCUCACCAACCGGUUUCGCCCCAUGGAACUUCUCUCCUCCUUCCUUCUCAUCCACGUCAUUUUUCUCCUUUUCUUCCUCAAGUCUCCUUGAGUUCUGUCCCUGAGACCUCGUCUCCCGUACAAUUUUCUCUUCGUCGUCACCCGAGGACACCUGAGCGGACCUCCGAGACCACACCAUCUUUCUUCCUCCUCCCUGUGUAAAUAAGAGAAUGUAGAAAAUUAUUAAGAUAUGAUAGAACGUGUAGUAUGUAUAUUCACACACCUUCGAAAUGAACGUAAUCUUUUAUCUCACCACCUCUCAAAACUCGAAUUUUAUAUAGAGAGAUUACUUUCUUUACUUUUGGGGUUUACAAAGAGAUUCCAUAUGU